UGCCAGUCAUAUGCUUGUCUCAAAGAUUAAGCCAUGCAUGUCUGAGUACAGACCGAUCUAAGGUGAAACCGCGAAUGGCUCAUUAAAUCAGUCAUAAUUCCUUGGAUAGUGAAAAACUUUCCUCGGAUAACUGUGGAAAAUCCAGAGCUAAUACGUGCAACUGAGCUCCGACCUAGGCGCGAGCCUUGGGAAGAGCGCAUUUGUUAGAUUCAAAACUGACCGGCGUACUCCUCCGGGAUACGCCGUUUGUUAAAAUUUGAUGACUCAGGACAACUUAGUCGAGCGCUCCGGUCUUUAGUACCGGCGCCGUAUCUUUCAAGUGUCUGCCUUAUCAGCUUUCGAUUGUAGGUUAAACGCCUACAAUGGCUGUAACGGGUAACGGGGAAUCAGGGUUCGAUUCCGGAGAGGGAGCCUGAGAAACGGCUACCACAUCUAAGGAAGGCAGCAGGCACGCAAAUUACCCACUCCCAGCCCGGGGAGGUAGUGACGAAAAAUAACGAUGCGAGACUCUUCCGAGGCCUCGCAAUCGGAAUGAGUCCAUUUUAAAUCCUUGGACGAGGAUCCAUUGGAGGGCAAGUCUGGUGCCAGCAGCCGCGGUAAUUCCAGCUCCAAUAGCGUAUAUUAAAGUUGCUGCGGUUAAAAAGCUCGUAGUUGGACUUUCUAGAUCCAUUUCGUGGGUGAGUCGCUCUUUGUACUAGCGUCUCGCGCGGUUCCUCGAUGAAGUCGUCGCGCGUAUUUCUUUUUCUACUUCGGUCGAUUAAGAGAUUGCGCCGGCGUUCCAGAAUCUUGCGGGCGGCGAGGCGUUGUCUUAGAGUAUAGCUCGUCCGCGUUUGGUACAAUUAAAAUUUUGUCGGCUCGCUCGGAGUGCUCUUUACCGAGUGUUCCAGGGUGGCUGACACGUUCACUUUGAAAAAAUUAGAGUGCUUAAAGCGGGCUUAUUUACGGCCUGAAUGUCUGUGCAUGGAAUGAAGUAACAGGACCUCGAUUCUGUUGUUUUUGUCGGUUUUAUUGAACCGAGGUAAUGAUUAAAAGGGACAGACGGUGGCAUUAGUAUUGCGGCGCUAGAGGUGAAAUUCUUGGACCGUCGCAAGACUAACUACUGCGAAAGCAUUUGCCGAGAAUGUUUUCAUUAAUCAAGAACGAAAGUUAGAGGAUCGAAGGCGAUCAGAUACCGCCCUAGUUCUAACCCUAAACUAUGCUAACUAGCGAUCCGCCGGAGUCAUUCCCACGACCCGGCGGGAAGCCCCAGGGAAACCAAAGUCUUUGAGUUCCGGGGGAAGUAUGGUUGCAAAGCUGAAACUUAAAGGAAUUGACGGAAGGGCACCACCAGGAGUGGAGCCUGCGGCUUAAUUUGACUCAACACGGGAAACCUCACCAGGCCCGGACAUCAUAAGGAUUGACAGGUUGAGAGCUCUUUCUCGAUUUGAUGGGUGGUGGUGCAUGGCCGUUCUUAGUUGGUGGAGUGAUCUGUCUGGUUGAUUCCGAUAACGAACGAGACUCUACCCUACUAACUAGUCGGCGGAUCGUAACCCUGAGAUGGUUAGUUUGUAUAGGAGAGUUUUGCCCAGGCAAAGUCCGAUCGAUAGUGGUAUAGCUCGUUAGCUACUUGUAGCGAAGGGUUGUACUUCUAGAGGUUGCGGCUCUGUCGAAGCUGCUUUCUGAUUACUACUACUGCUGGGGGCGUCCGUCGCAAUGUAUCUUCUUAGAGGGAUCAGCGGCGUAUAGCCGCACGAGAAAGAGCAAUAACAGGUCUGUGAUGCCCUUAGAUGUUCUGGGCCGCACGCGCGCUACAAUGUAGGGCUCAGCGUGCUUUCCCUCUCCGAAAGGAGCGGGUAACCCGUUGAAACCCCUACCCGAUUGGGAUUGGGGAUUGCAAUUAUUUCCCAUAAACGAGGAAUUCCCAGUAAGCGCGAAUCAUUAAUUCGCGCUGAUUACGUCCCUGCCCUUUGUACACACCGCCCGUCGCUACUACCGAUUGAAUGAUUCAGUGAGGGCAUCGGACUGGCCCUUCGGUUUAGUAACCUAGACCUUAGGCUGACGGAAAGAUGUCCGAACUUGAUCAUUUAGAGGAAGUAAAAGUCGUAACAAGGUUUCCGUAGUGAA
rnacentral:rRNA from 1 species